rnacentral:rRNA from 1 species
GACGAACGCUGGCGACGUGCUUAACACAUGCAAGUCGAACGGAAAGGCCCUGCUUUUGUGGGGUGCUCGAGUGGCGAACGGGUGAGUAACACGUGAGUAACCUGCCCUUGACUUUGGGAUAACUUCAGGAAACUGGGGCUAAUACCGGAUAGGAGCUCCUGCUGCAUGGUGGGGGUUGGAAAGUUUCGGCGGUUGGGGAUGGACUCGCGGCUUAUCAGCUUGUUGGUGGGGUAGUGGCUUACCAAGGCUUUGACGGGUAGCCGGCCUGAGAGGGUGACCGGCCACAUUGGGACUGAGAUACGGCCCAGACUCCUACGGGAGGCAGCAGUGGGGAAUAUUGCACAAUGGGCGGAAGCCUGAUGCAGCAACGCCGCGUGCGGGAUGACGGCCUUCGGGUUGUAAACCGCUUUCGCCUGUGACGAAGCGUGAGUGACGGUAAUGGGUAAAGAAGCACCGGCUAACUACGUGCCAGCAGCCGCGGUGAUACGUAGGGUGCGAGCGUUGUCCGGAUUUAUUGGGCGUAAAGGGCUCGUAGGUGGUUGAUCGCGUCGGAAGUGUAAUCUUGGGGCUUAACCCUGAGCGUGCUUUCGAUACGGGUUGACUUGAGGAAGGUAGGGGAGAAUGGAAUUCCUGGUGGAGCGGUGGAAUGCGCAGAUAUCAGGAGGAACACCAGUGGCGAAGGCGGUUCUCUGGGCCUUUCCUGACGCUGAGGAGCGAAAGCGUGGGGAGCGAACAGGCUUAGAUACCCUGGUAGUCCACGCUGUAAACGGUGGGUACUAGGGGUGGGGUCCAUUCCACGGGUUCCGUGCCGUAGCUAACGCUUUAAGUACCCCGCCUGGGGAGUACGGCCGCAAGGCUAAAACUCAAAGGAAUUGACGGGGCCCCGCACAAGCGGCGGAGCAUGCGGAUUAAUUCGAUGCAACGCGUAGAACCUUACCUGGGUUUGACAUGGAUCGGGAGUGCUCAGAGAUGGGUGUGCCUCUUUUGGGGUCGGUUCACAGGUGGUGCAUGGCUGUCGUCAGCUCGUGUCGUGAGAUGUUGGGUUAAGUCCCGCAACGAGCGCAACCCUUGUUCACUGUUGCCAGCACGUUAUGGUGGGGACUCAGUGGAGACCGCCGGGGUCAACUCGGAGGAAGGUGGGGAUGACGUCAAGUCAUCAUGCCCCUUAUGUCCAGGGCUUCACGCAUGCUACAAUGGCUGGUACAGAGAGUGGCGAGCCUGUGAGGGUGAGCGAAUCUCGGAAAGCCGGUCUCAGUUCGGAUUGGGGUCUGCAACUCGACCUCAUGAAGUCGGAGUCGCUAGUAAUCGCAGAUCAGCAACGCUGCGGUGAAUACGUUCCCGGG